UUACAGACGCAGCCCCUUGUCUGUAGCUCCUGACUCCCACUUAAAUGUCUGUUGGAAGCACCCUGGGGUAGCAGAACCCAGCUCAGAAGAUGGGGCUUAUCCACCAUGCCUUUUCCUAACCUGACACCCACCCAGAUAAUCUUUUCAAUAUGCAAACUAGAGCGUAUCACCCCCUGCUCAGAGCCUUUCUGUGACCUCCCAUUUUGCUUCCCAGGACUCCUUGCUCCUUAGCCAGGUCUCCAGGUCCUCCGUGAUCAGGUCUCUGCUCUUCUGCAGCCUCAUCUCUGCCAUUCUUCACCUUUUGUGCUCCAACCCAAUCUGGUUUUCUUCUCAUGCUUUGAACACCCCAAGUCUGUCUGCUUCAGGAGCUUCGUACUGGCUAAUCAUUCACCACAGCAUACUCCCAUCUAUACGGCUGGCUCUUAUAUUAUGGGUCUCAGCUAAAAUGUCAUCCCUUCAAAGAGACCUUCUUGGACCACCCCCGCCAUUCUCUAUCCUAUUUCUCUCUUUUAUUUUCUUUGAAGCACUUACCCACUUUCAGAAACUAUCUGGCUUGCUCAUGUGUUUGUCUCUAGAUUGUCUACUUCCCCUCCUAGACUGUACUCUCCACAAGAGAGCAAAGCUGUGUCUGUUGCAUUCACUGUUGUCUUCCCAGAAGCAAGCAGCAUGCUGGAGACCCUCAAAUACAUGUGAAAUGAAGGGACACCUUGUGUUAUUUCACCUGUUUCCACCUGGUUCCCAAGUGGCAAGCUUGCAUUGAGGUUACAAAGUGGCAAAGCUGGGAUAUCACAUGAUGUCACCAUGAUGCUAUAUGAAAUGUAACAUUAAUUGAGUACCUAUGUGACCAGUUCUUUAAUUCUGUAAGUGAACUCUCAAAAAACCCUAGGUAAGUAUUAUCAACUCGAACUUUAACGGAUGAGGAAACUGGAAUUUUUUAAAAAAUGACUUAACCAAACAUCACAGAGCUGUAAACCAGGAUUUGAAUGGGUGAGCUGCACUCAGCCUUCAUCUCAAGUCAGUUUGCCUCUUUCUCCAAGAAGCCACAGUUGAUCCUGACCACAUCACAUAUGAGUUGCCUGGAUUGCAGUCAUUCAUUCACUAAGCAUCUUUUAGGAGGUCACAUGCCAGGCACCGUGUUAGGUAAUGAUUUCUCCAAGUCACAGGAGCCGUGGUUCUGACUUUAGAAAGUUUCUCAUCUGAUGGGAGGGCAGGCAAGUAAAUCAGUAAGGGUGGUCCCUGUCGGGACACUGGUUGAGAAAUACCCAGGAACACUCUGAUUGAGAAAUACCCAAAGUGCAAAGUGACAGGGACUAGAGGCAUCUCCACUGGACCAGAGAGCUCUGGAUUCGUCUUGAGCUAAGUCUCUGGAGAGCACUGCGUGUUUUGAAAUAUACAAAUAGUGGGAAACGAAAUCUUUGUUCUGGAUGCAGUUAUAAUUUGGAAAGCGAGGAAAUAAAUUAUAACAAGGGGAAAAAACAGACACAGAGGGAUUGAAAUGCAUAACAAUAGAGAUGAAACACGAAGAGUGAUAAAUGAAGAUUGAGUGUGCACACCUUCUGGAGGAGCCCUGAUUGAGUAUUUUAAAAUACUACUAAAGUCAUGCCGUGUGACUUCUGAAGCUAGCUCCUAAGAAGUCCUUGCAGCUUCUGCCUGCGACUCUUAGAACACUUGCUUUGAAGGAUGCCAGAUGCUGUCUUAAAAGUCUGAGCACUCUGAAACCAUCAUGCUGUGAGGAAGCCCAAGCUAACCACAUGGGCAAAAAAGAUGCCCUCUGACUGCCACCAUUUGAGACACUCUAAUUAAGAACUGCCUCAUUGAGCCCAUGAGGCCCUGUGAAUGAUAAUAAUAAAUUGUUUUUAACCACUAUGUUUUUGGAUUUGUUAUAAGUUUAUAGAUAACAAGAAAAAGUUAUAUUAGCAUGGUAAUAAAAUUAUGGAUAUGUGUAA
ensembl:lncRNA LINC00964 long intergenic non-protein coding RNA 964